GGGUCAGGCGAGCGCGCUCACUUCUUCACACAGCCGGGUGCCCGGCCCAGCGUCCCCGUACCGCGUGCUACUGCGCCGGGCCAGAGCUUCACUCCUUCUGCUGCGGCGCGCGCCCCGCCUCUCCUUUUAUAGUCUCCUCCCUGUUUCCCCCCUCCCUCUCCGUGGGGGUGCGCGCUCCCGCUCGCGUCACACAGCUCGGGACUGCGAAACCUUUCCCCGCCCUCCCAGCUCCACACCCAGGGCCUGCGCCGGCCCGCCCCUCGACGCCAUUGGCCAAGUCCCGCCUGCCCACGUCUUGCCAGGCGGUGCCGAGCUGGAUGGAACAGAUCACACCCCAGUGCUCCGAGAUGGCCAAUAAUUCCACGCAACAGCAGACAUUCAAGUUCCGGUUCAACCAAGAAAACCCUGGAAGUAUCAGUACAGCUCUCUUCUGUCUGGCACGGUGUCCCUAG
rnacentral:lncRNA from 1 species